rnacentral:rRNA from 1 species
UAAGAAUAUUCCGCAAUGGACGAAAGUCUGACGGAGCGACGCCGCGUGGAUGAAGAAGGCCGAAAGGUUGUAAAAUCCUUUUGCUGAUGAAGAAUAAGUAUGGUAGGGAAUGACCGUAUGAUGACAUUAGUCGGUGAAUAAGCCCCGGCUAACUACGUGCCAGCAGCCGCGGUAACACGUAGGGGGCAAGCGUUGUUCGGAAUUAUUGGGCGUAAAGGGCAUGUAGGCGGUUUUGUAAGCCUGGUGUGAAAUCCUGCAGCUUAACUGUAGAAUUGCAUCGGGUACUGCAAGACUUGAAUCACAGAGGGGAAACUAGAAUUCCAGGUGUAGGGGUGGAAUCUGUAGAUAUCUGGAAGAAUACCGGUGGCGAAGGCGGGUUUCUAGCUGAUGAUUGACGCUGAGGUGCGAAAGUGCGGGGAGCAAAC